rnacentral:rRNA from 1 species
GGGGAAUCUUCCGCAAUGGGCGAAAGCCUGACGGAGCAAUGCCGCGUGGAGGUAGAAGGCCCACGGGUCGUAAACUCCUUUUCUCAGAGAAGAAGCAAUGACGGUAUCUGAGGAAUAAGCAUCGGCUAACUCUGUGCCAGCAGCCGCGGUAAGACAGAGGAUGCAAGCGUUAUCCGGAAUGAUUGGGCGUAAAGCGUCUGUAGGUGGCGGUGUAAGCAUGGCGUGAAAGCCCCAGGCUUAACCUGGGAGGGUCGUCGUGGACUGCACCGCUUGAGGGCGGUAGGGGCUGGUGGAAUGCCUGGUGUAGUGGUGAAAUGCGUAGAGAUCAGGCGGAACACCCGUGGCGAAGGCGGCCAGCUGGGCCGUCCCUGACGCUGAGGCGCGAAGGCGUGGGGAGCGAAAGGGAUUAGAUACCCCUGUAGUC